rnacentral:piRNA from 1 species
UGGAGUCAUCUAUAAAUAGGGGG